GCGAGUAACACUACACCAUUGUGCCGCUUCCCGUUAAGGGAUCCCUCCGGCAAUGCUCCAAAUUACUGCCAUGAAAGUACCAACAACCACAAGAACAUCGCCAGCCGUCGCCCCAUUCCUCUUUUCUCGUUGGCCAUGUUCACAUCGAAAUUAAGGACUGGUGAGGUCCCAUUUUGGUGACCCUAACUAUUAUAUGGUUUGAUCCCUCAAUCCUUUAACUGCAUGUUUGUUUUCUUCGGUUUGAUUUGCAUGUUGUUUUUCUUCUUUGGGUGCUAAUUGCCUAAAUUAAUCCCUUAGAUCUAAAGUUUUUGAUAUCUGACUUUGAAUUUUGAUUUUUUUUAACUAUAUGUUCAUCUCUGGAUUUGUUACAUGUCAAAAUCCCUAUAUUUCACUGAUUUGAAUUAACCUUAAUUUCAUUACUCGAUUUUUGAUUUGUGAAGCUUGAUGAUACUCUGUCCUAAAUGAAUUUUUGCGAUCCUUAAUGAUUUUGGGUUGUGUGCUUUUGUCUUUUGAACUUAUGAUGGUGAACUGAUUACUGCCUAAUUUUAGUUCAAUAAUUGAUUUUGGAAAAGUUGUGAUUUCCCCAAUCCGUGUUCCCCUUCUAUUCAGGGUAAGCCUAUGCUUGUUUGUUUAUUUCGAUUGAUAAAUUCAAAGAAUGAUGGAUUUUCUUUCCUUUCCUCUAUGUUGACCGAUCUUUAAGUGGAACUGAG
rnacentral:lncRNA from 1 species